rnacentral:lncRNA from 1 species
UGAGAGACGCCGAAUCUUGGUUCUUGUAGCACCAGGCAGGACCUGUGCAGAGGGAAAUCCUCUGUACUCACAGCGACCAUGCGGCUCGGUGAUAGCCCCUGCCUGGAGUGGUACAACGGAAAUCAAUACUGGUUUGAGGUCGGACCCACGGACUUGUUCGAACGCAAGGGCUCCCUGACCCUCCGGUCCUAUCACAAGAAAUAUUCGAAGCCUGU